GUCAGGAUGGCCGAGCGAUCUAAAGGCGCCAGACUCAAGUUCUGGUGCUCUCUGAGGGCGUGGGUUCGAAUCCCGCUCCUGAUA